rnacentral:rRNA from 1 species
UACGUAGGGGGCAAGCGUUGUCCGGAUUUAUUGGGCGUAAAGAGCUCGUAGGCGGCUUGUCGCGUCGGCCGUGAAAACCUGCAGCUUAACUGUGGGCGUGCGGUCGAUACGGGCAUCACUGGAGUUCGGCAGGGGAGACUGGAAUUCCUGGUGUAGCGGUGAAAUGCGCAGAUAUCAGGAGGAACACCAGUGGCGAAGGCGAGUCCCUGGAAAACUCCUGACACUGAGGCACGAAAGCUAGGGGAGCAAACAG